CUCCUUGAAGGAGCUCACCAUGGCCUGGGCUGUAUAUUUCAUGGUUCUUCUCAGUUACUGCUCAGGGGUCAUCUCACAGUCAACGUUGACUCAACCUACCUCCCAGUCAGUACCCCAGGGACAAACUAUCGAAAUCUCCUGCACUGCCAGCAGUAGCGUGAGCUAUAUUGAUUGGUAUCAACAGAAACCUGGACAGGCCCCUCGCUUUGUGCACUGUAAUGGUUGCAGCAGCAGGGGAUCUGGCAUCCCAGAUCGGUUCACUGCAACCCGCUCUGGGACCACAGGAUAUUUAACCAUCACCAGCAUCGAAACUGAAGACGACGCCGAUUACUACUGCGGUGCCUGGUUUGGCAACUUGCACAGUGGUAAACUCUUAUGGGAAACUGAGACAAAAACCUGCAUUCUUCCUCCCUCAGAGCAGAGCAUUGAGAUUUCCUCGAGAGAGUAA